UUUUUUGUUUUUUGUUUUUUGUCUUUUUGCUAUUUCUUUGGGCCGCUUCUGGGGCAUAUGGAGGUUCCCAGGCUAGGGGUUGAAUCGGAGCUGUAGCCGCCGGCCUACGCCAGAGCCACAGCAACGCGGGGUCCGAGCUGCGUCUGUAACCUACACCCCAGCUCGCGGCAACGCCAGAUCGUUAACCCACUGAGCAAGGGCAGGGACCAAACCCGCAACCUCAUGGUUCCUAGUCGGAUUUGUUAACCACUGCGCCACCACGGGAACUCCUGGAGAGUUCUUUUUUAAUUGUAAAUGGAUGUUGAAUAGAGUAAUCGUCUAAAUUUAAAUAGGAUUAUGUCACCCUCUGCUUUAACUUUCUAUUAGCUUUAGUUGUAUUUAAAAUUUGAACUCCCUUACUCUUGUUCUGAGCUGAAAAGAAUAAACCCUUUCUCUUCAAGUUCGUCUCAUGACACUUUUCCAUUUGCUCCCACUUUUCUUGUGAAAGUAAUCCCUGCUGAUCUUCAAAGCUGAUAUUCUAGGGGCUUGUCUUCUUGGUGUAGGAGGCCUGGUCUGGGCACCCAGUGUGAGACUUAGACCUCUAACUUCUUGGGAAUAAUCUCUGUAGUUGUGAUUAUCCUCCCUUUGUGGGUUGCCUGUUUGGGGAUAUGGAUCUUGACUGUACCAUGACACCACCCAUCCGACCUAUCUUGUUGUUCUUUCUUUUUAUCUUUAGUAGAAAAAUGUUUUCUGCUAAAUCAUUCAGUGUUUCUCAUCAAUAGUUGCUCGUAAAUAGUUGUAAUUUUGGUGUGCUUGUUAGGGGAGGUGAGCUAAGGGUGUUCUUACUCCACUACCUUGGCUAAAUUAAGCCAUUGUGUUAUCUGUUGUAAAACCCAGAAGAUAUAUCUUUAGCUUGUUACCUAGCAUCAGUUGCACACUUAUAUCACUAUUAACUUGUGAAUAAUUAUAAUUACUUAUUAAAAGUUCUUAUAAAUCAUGAAAGUCAUUCUUUAGUUACAAAUAAAAAAUAUUGUUCCUAUGAUCUAAUAUCAGAUGUUUUGUAAUUCUAAAGCUCAGAAAAGGGAAGAGCUAGCCCUGCUAUUUCAGAUCUUUCACAGAUCCUCAAGUCUCAAGAUGAAUCACCUUUUUUAAAGAGUUCAAAUGAAGCUUUAACUGAUGAAGAUAUAUCCUAUAUACUUUCAUCAAAGACCAAUGAUAAAUCAAUUGCUGCAAUAUUAUUGAGCAAAGAAAUUCAAGAUUCACAGUCUGUUGAAACAUUACUUCAAGGGAAUGAAACAGUGACAGCACCAUCCAUCUUACCCCCCGUUACUAAAAGAAAGCCUCUGGGUACAGACAUCUCAAAGGCUCGUAUUUUAGAGAAUUUACGAAGCAAGGUUGAAACACAAACUUACCAAGAAAUAAGAGAAUUCCAAGGUAAAAAGAUUUUGUUUUAUAAGAUUAAAAUGUUAAUGGUUGUGUGUUCCCAUGUUAUAACUAAAGUAAAUGAAGUGAGAACAUUACCAAAUGUACAAUAACUUCUUAAACAGCCAUGAUAAUAUAUAAAAUAUAAAAAUAUUAUAAAUGUAUAAAUAUGUAAAAAUUAAUUUAUGAAGUUAACAUAUUAGUCUGUCUCAACUAAAAACUUGUUUAAAAGGGGAGUUCUCAUUGUGGCUCAGCAGUAAUGAACUCAACUAGUAACCAUGAUGAUGUUUUGAUCCUUGGCCUUGUUCAGUAGGUUGAGGAUCAGGCAUUGCUGUGAGCUAUUCAUUUCUAUUUUCAUUCCAUGUUUUCUGUUCCUUUGUUGUAAGUUAAUUUCCGUAUAUUUGUGGGUUUAUUUCUGGCCUCUAUUUGGUUUCAUUUUUCUUUUUUUGUGGGGGGAAGGUGGUCCUGCCCAUAUCAUGCUGCUUGAUUAGUAUACCUUUAUAAUAUAGUUUGGAAUCAGGAAUGUGAUACCUCAAGCUUUCUCUUUUCUCAGAAUUAUUUUGGAUAAUUGAGAUAUUUUGGAGUUCCAUGUAAAUUUUAGGAUUUCUGUUUUUAUUUCUGUGAAAAAUGUCAUUGAGGUUUUGGUAGGGCAAAUAUGUAGAUUGCUUUAGGUACUAUGAACAUUUAACAGUUUACUCUUCCAAUCCAUGAGCAUGAGGUUUAUUUUCCAUCUUUGUGUCCCUGCCAUUUCUUUCAUCAAUGUCUUAUAUUUUUCAAUGUGUUAGUCCUUCACUUUUUAUUCCUAGGUAUUUUAUUCUUUUUGUUGCGGUUGUACAUGGAGUAAGUUCUCUUAGUUUCUCUUUCUGCUUAGUGUAUAGAAAUGCAUCAGAUUUUUGUAUAUUGAUUUUGUACUUUGUAACUUUACUGUAUUUGUUUUGUUUAUUAUGUCGAAUAUUUUUGGUGGAGUCUUUAGGGUUUUCUGUGUAUCAAAACAUGAAAUCUGAAAAUUAUGCCAGUUUUACUUCCUCCUUUCCAAUAUGAAUGUCUUUUACUUCUUUUUCUUGCUUAAUUGCUCUGGCUCUUCCAAUACUAUAUUGAAUAAGAGUGGUAAGGGUGGGCAUCCCUGUUGUGUUCUGAAUCUUAGAGGGAUAGCUUUAAAUAUUUCAUCAUUGAGUAUGGAGUAUGAUGACAGCUGUGGGGUUGUCAGGGCAUUUAUUAUGUUGAAGUAUGUUUCUUCUCCACCCAUUUUAUUGAAAUUUUUUUAUCAUAAUGAGUAUUUCAAUUUGUCAGCUGCUUUCUUUGCAGUUGAAAUGUUCGUGAUUUUUGUCCUUUGUUAAUGUGGUAUAUUACAUUUAUUGAUUUCAUAUCUUUAACCAUCCUCACAUCCCAAGGAUAAAUCCCCCAAGACUGUGGUGUAUAAUCCAUUUAAUAUGCUCUUGAUUUCAAUUUGCUAGUAUUUUCUUGAGAAUUUUUAUAUUUAUCAUGGCCAUUGGCCUAUAAUUAACUUUUUUUUGUAGUAUCCUUGUGUGGCUUCAGAAUGCAAGUAAUAUUGAAAUGCAAAAACAAAUGAGUUUUCAAGAGUUCUUUCCUUUUCAGUUUUUGGAAGAAUUUGGAAGGCUUGGUAUUAAUUCUUUUUUAAUGCUUGAUAGAAUUCACAAGUAAAGCCUUCUGGUCCUGGAAUUUUAUUUGUUGGGAGACUUUUGAUUACCAAUUUAAUAUUCUAUCUCAUUAUUAAUCUGUUCAGAUUUUUUAGUACGUCGUGAUUCAGUCUUUGUAAGCUGUAUGUUUCUAGGAAUUUAUUUCUUCUAAGUUAUCUAGGCUUUUGGAUAAAAUUGUUUAUAUUAUUUUCCUAUGGUCCUCAUAUUUCUUGGUAUAAGUUAUGCCUUUUCUUUUGUUUAUAACUUUUGAGUCAUCUAUCUUUUUCUCUUGGCUAGUCUAAAUAAAUAUUUGGCAGUUUUGUUUAUCUUUCCUAAAACUAGCUCUUUAACUUUUUUGGUCUUUUAUAAUGUCUUCAUAGUCUCUAAUUAUUUCCUUCUUCCUGCUAACUUUGGAUUAGUUUGUUCUUUAUAGUUCUUUGAGUAAUAAAGUUGUUUAUUUGAGGUAUUGUUUCUCAUCAGAGGCAUUUAUUGCUAUAAACUACCCCCUUAAAAUUGUUUUUGCUCCAUUCCAUAAGUUUUGUUACAUUUCCAUUUUCAUUUUUCUCAACAUUUUUGCUAUCCCAUGUCAUUUUUUCUUACAUUCAUUUAUUUUUCAGAAGUAUGUUAUUUAAUUUCUUUUUUUUUUAUUUUUUAUUUUUUUUUAAUUUUAUUUUUUUAUUUUCCCACUGUACA
rnacentral:lncRNA from 1 species